UGGGGAAUCUUGGACAAUGGGGGCAACCCUGAUCCAGCCAUGCCGCGUGAGUGAUGAAGGCCUUAGGGUCGUAAAGCUCUUUCGCCUGUGAAGAUAAUGACGGUAGCAGGUAAAGAAACCCCGGCGUAACUCCGUGCCAGCAGCCGCGGUAAUACGGAGGGGGUUAGCGUUGUUCGGAAUUACUGGGCGUAAAGCGCACGUAGGCGGACCAGAAAGUUGGGGGUGAAAUCCCGGGGGCUCAACCCCGGAACUGCCUCCAAAACUAUUGGUCUAGAGUUCGAGAGAGGUGAGUGGAAUUCCAAGUGUAGAGGUGAAAUUCGUAGAUAUUUGGAGGAACACCAGUGGCGAAGGCGGCUCACUGGCUCGAUACUGACGCUGAGGUGCGAAAGUGUGGGGAGCAAACAGGAUUAGAUACCCUGGGUAGUCCACACCGUAAAACGAUGAAUGCCAGUCGUCGGGUAGCAUGCUAUUCGGUGACACACCUAACGGAUUAAGCAUUCCGCCUGGGGAGUACGG
rnacentral:rRNA from 1 species